CUCACCUGGCAAUAGACAAAGAGACACCUGUCUUGAUGGUGGUGUUGUUCUUAUACCAGCCAGGGCAGAGAAGAUGGCUGUCCUGUGUUCAUCCUAGCUUGAUACCUGGCCUGGUGGCCAAAAAUGUUUCAUGCCUAGGGCACAUAA